UCUAGUCGUUUUCAAAGUGCCUCGCGCUGGUUCUCACUGGCCCGGCCACCGGCCCCAGCUCUGCCCUGCAUAAUAAAAUGGCUAAUCAGGUGAAUGGUAAUGCAGUACAGUUAAAAGAAGAGGAAGAACCAAUGGAUACUUCCAGUGUGAAUCACACAGAACACUACAAGACACUGAUAGAGGCAGGCCUCCCUCAGAAGGUGGCAGAAAGACUUGAUGAAAUAUUUCAGACAGGAUUGGUAGCUUAUGUCGAUCUUGAUGAAAGAGCAAUUGAUGCUCCCAGGGAAUUUAAUGAAGAAGGAGCUCUCUCUGUACUACAGCAGUUCAAGGAAAGUGACUUAUCACAUAUUCAGAACAAAAGUGCAUUUUUAUGUGGAGUUAUGAAGACCUACAGGCAAAGGGAGAAACAGGGGAGCAAGGUGCAAGAGUCCACAAAGGGACCUGAUGAAGCAAAGAUCAAGGCCUUGCUUGAAAGGACCGGUUAUACCUUGGAUGUAACCACAGGACAGAGGAAGUAUGGUGGUCCUCCCCCAGACAGUGUGUACUCUGGCGUGCAACCUGGAAUUGGAACAGAAGUCUUUGUAGGUAAAAUACCAAGAGAUUUAUACGAGGAUGAAUUGGUGCCCCUCUUUGAAAAGGCUGGUCCCAUUUGGGAUCUGCGUCUUACGAUGGAUCCACUGUCUGGUCAGAACAGAGGGUAUGCAUUCAUCACCUUCUGUGGAAAGGAAGCCGCGCAGGAAGCUGUUAAACUGUGUGACAGCUAUGAAAUUCGCCCUGGUAAACACCUUGGAGUGUGCAUUUCUGUGGCAAACAACAGGCUUUUUGUUGGAUCAAUUCCGAAGAAUAAGACUAAAGAAAACAUUCUGGAAGAAUUCAGUAAAGUCACAGAGGGUUUGGUGGACGUUAUUCUCUAUCAUCAACCCGAUGACAAAAAGAAGAAUCGGGAGUUCUGCUUCCUUGAGUAUGAGGAUCACAAGUCAGCAGCACAAGCCAGACGCCGGCUGAUGAGUGGAAAAGUAAAAGUGUGGGGAAAUGUAGUUACAGUUGAAUGGGCUGAUCCUGUGGAAGAAACAGAUCCGGAAGUCAUGGCUAAGGUGAAAGUUUUAUUUGUGAGAAACUUGGCUACUACAGUGACAGAAGAAAUAUUGGAAAAGUCAUUUUCUGAAUUUGGAAAACUUGAAAGAGUGAAGAAGUUGAAAGAUUAUGCAUUUGUUCAUUUCGAAGACAGAGGAGCAGCUGUUAAUUAUAACUUCACACCUUUUUGA